GAUGAACGCUGGCGGCGUGCCUAAUACAUGCAAGUCGAGCGAACAGAUAAGGAGCUUGCUCCUUUGACGUUAGCGGCGGACGGGUGAGUAACACGUGGGUAACCUACCUAUAAGACUGGGAUAACUUCGGGAAACCGGAGCUAAUACCGGAUAACAUUUGGAACCGCAUGGUUCUAAAGUGAAAGAUGGUUUUGCUAUCACUUAUAGAUGGACCCGCGCCGUAUUAGCUAGUUGGUAAGGUAACGGCUUACCAAGGCGACGAUACGUAGCCGACCUGAGAGGGUGAUCGGCCACACUGGAACUGAGACACGGUCCAGACUCCUAGGGGAGGCAGAGGUAGGGAAUCUUCCGCAAUGGGCGAAAGCCUGACGGAGCAACGCCGCGUGAGUGAUGAAGGGUUUCGGGUCGUAAAACUCUGUUAUUAGGGAAGAACAAAUGUGUAAGUAACUGUGCACGUCUUGACGGUACCUAAUCAGAAAGCCACGGCUAACUACGUG
rnacentral:rRNA from 1 species